rnacentral:lncRNA from 1 species
UGGCAACCCGACAAGCCUAUCAAAUCACCGGCUGGCGUGACAGCGGCAACACUGCAGGCAGGAGUGGGCUGGGCAGGAGAGCAGAGUGGCCACUGAGCUCAGCCCUGUAGAAAAGAAGACCCGUCUGGCCAAUACUACUGAUACUAAGUUGGAGCACCUUGGUGUACAAACCCUCCUGGCAUGUCUCUAAUGGCAAGCUGCAAAGUUUUGACCUCCUUUUCUGCUUAAUAAAAACAGACUCAGGUAAGUGAGAGUAAGAGAGUGUAUGAAUUAAUAUUUUUAGAAAAUUUAAUGUUAAAAAAAUAGCACAACUAUUUACUGGUUUUACAUGAAGGCCAGCAUG